rnacentral:ncRNA from 1 species
UGAAACGCAGCGAUAAGAAAAGUACAUUUAAGUGGAAUCUUUACAGAGAGCCCUGGUAGCUGAAAAAGGGAAGAGAAAGCUGAAUGGAAAAUGGUCUUUGAGUGGAACAAUUGAAUGUUCUGGAUAUUUUUAUAGAACUUUAGAUUGUUACGGGUGCACCCGUUAUAGUGCUACAGUAUGGGAAGUGGUAUUUUGCUUUAGUACUGGAAAAGGUGAAAACUGUGAGGUUUUCAUAAAACAAGGUGGUAACACGUAAUCAAUGAUUCCGUCCUUGCA